CUAUGUCCGUCCCCCCUCCCUCCCUCCCUCUCUCCCUCUCUCUCUCUCUCUCUCGUUCUGUUUGGUCUCUCGGUCCUGCCUGUCUCCAUUCUCUCCUCAGCACUCUCUGGACUAGCAGUAAGACAGAAAGAGGAUCAAUUCUGCUGCAGGUUCCACUGAACCGCAAACUCACCUUUUACAGCAUCUCUCAGUAUGCAGAAGAAGGAGGAGGCCCCCCCAUACCCCGGCCCCCCCAUUUAUUACGGGGGCACAGCAGUGACCCCCCAGCCAGGAUUCCAACCGGGUUACCAGCCAGGCCCAUACCCCACCGCAGGCCCGUACCCCCCUGGAGGACCCUACCCCCCCGGAGGAGGACAAUACCCCCCUGGAGGAGUCCAAUACCCCGCCGGAGGAGGACAAUACCCCGCCGGAGGAGGACAGUACCCCCCUGGAGGACAAUACCCCCCCGCAGGCCAGUACCCCCCCGGUCAGGCCCCUGGUGUGUACCCCCCCUCUGCACAGUACCCAGCAGGCUUUGCACCAAUGAUGGGCCAACCUAUAA
ensembl:lncRNA